rnacentral:rRNA from 1 species
ACACCCACUUCUUUUAUUAAACAAAAACCAAUACAAAAUUAAAAACUAACUUCAUCAAAAACCAAGUCUCUAAGCAAUGGAUGUCUUGGCUCCUCACACGAUGAAGAACGUGGCAUAAUGUGUUAAGUAACCGGAGUUGCAAACAUCAUGACAGGUUAAUCUUUGAAUGCAAAUUGCGCUAAACUCGAUCUCGGUCGAGAAGCAUGGGUGUGACAGUACUACAUCUUUUAUAAUAAUUCUUAUUCUAAGCGAAUAAGUAAAUAAUAUAUAAGACAAACAACACGUAGUCUGCCAUACGCAGGAAGACCCGCUGAACUGAAGCAUCUCAUUAAGCGG